rnacentral:lncRNA from 1 species
AGUCCAAAUCUGGACUAAUUUCAAGUUCUUAUUAAUUAAUUUAAGGCAAAAUAUAUUUUUACCUCAGUUAAGGGACCAGAGCGUAGAGCCUCCUGCUAGUCUCCUUGCACUCCCAUACAAAAAUUGAGACCAAAAUUAGAAGAGAAGAAUAAAAGGAAGAGAGAUAGAUGGGAAUUAGAUUCAGCACUAGUUGUAGGGUGGA